GAGGGUAUGGCUCAGUGGUAGAGCGCAUGACUAGCAUGCACAAGGUCCUGGGUUCAAUCCCCAGUACCACCA
rnacentral:tRNA from 1 species